GGGGGCGACAGGCUUCGACAGGGGCUUGUAUAGAUCUUUGGAUGCACGUCGGGCUUGCUUGUUAGCUCGUUAAAACACCAAGCAAAACACAAAUGCUAAUCAAGAAUUAGCUCUUGCUGCCUAGUUUAUUCUAGCCACAAGUGUUUCAUCACAAGUCAGCUGGAAGCGCGUGAAUGAAGCAUAACCCAGUUCAAGCUAGCUUGCAUUUUCCGUCUGCAAAUGUGAGCGAAAUGUUAGUCAGACUAGCUUUUGAUAAGGUCUUGUCGGUUCACUUGCUUAUCAAACGCGAAACCCAGAAGAGAACUCGACUAAGCGUGUAGAUUCUUUAGGUCGCAACCUUUGGAUGCGGGUUCGAUUCCCGCCGCCUCCACCA
rnacentral:tmRNA from 1 species